UGAACAUGUUUGAACACCUAAUUAGGUGAAGACCAAUAGACUGACAUCAUUUUCAAAUGAUAUAUAAGCUUGGUGUAAGAGAGGCAUGGGAGGAGAGGUAGAGGAGAGAUGUACUUGCCAUCCACAGACUCUUCUUGCCCCAACACUCCCUCCCUCCAUCCUCAGGAAUGCAUAGGACAGAUGUCAUGAACUAAAUUCCUUUCCAAGGUUUUGUAAGACUUGUUUCGUAUUAUUUUUGUUAUCUUCUUUUUAUAUUCUUCUUUUAUUUUUGUUCGUAUUAAAUGUUUUACCUUUGUUUGCAUCUAAGUGACUCUGCCUAUUUUUGACGCACAUACAUUUAUAUGUGAUCCAAUUAUUUGAAGUUUGUAUUGGCCCUAUAUAUUUUCUUACAUAUCUGGCGUGCCAGCCCUGCGUAUUUUUUCCUGACCUUUGCCCUCCAGCUUGCUCAGGGGGAAGGGCAGAUAUAUCUGUACACUUUUUGCAAACUGUCGGGAGAAAGAUUAAGAAAAGAACCUUUAAGGAUACAGACUUUCAGAUUUUAUUGGAACCAAAAGUGCUAAAAGACGCUAUUGACGGCAGACGCAAGAAAGCCAUACAGCGUGAUACAACAGCCACUCAAGGAGAGUUCACUAAACAGGGAACACAAUUCUGCAAGAAAAUGGAGAAACAAAGCAGUUAACUAUUGGAAGGAGAGCAUUCUGAGAAACAGCAAUACAAGAAUCGUGACAUCAAGAUAGCAUAGUUUUUUGGUUGCUGUGUUGUUUGAACUAUAUCAGAAGCCAAUUGGAAUUGAUGAUCCGACAAAGGAUUUACCACAGAAGACAUUGUUAUCACAUAAAAUAAGAGAAGUUCAGGUGGAUCGACUCCUGACAUCAGACAUUGAUACAUCAAGAGACAUUGUUGGACGAAUUAGAUUAAUUAUGGUUAAGAUAUACAGAUUUUGUAUUUGAUAGGAAAAUCUGGAACAAUUAGAUGUUUCGGCUUGUCUUCAUUUUGUUUCCAAAGUAAUAUGUCUUCCAGGGCAAGAAAAAGUUGUCUAUCAUUCUUGUUUUCACAAUCAUUCAUCAUGUGAGGCCAGGAUUGAAAGUGUUACAUCUAUGCAUGAAUUAAUGACUCAAGUAAAAGGAGGAAAAGUUUGUUUUCAGGUAAUGAAGGAAGAGUCAUUGGUCAGAGCAUUCUUUUCAAAUUGUAUGCAUAAUGAAACUCUUCACAGAGGAUUAUAUUGCAUAGAAGGAGAAUUGAAAAAGUUGGAGAUAGAUGGGAAAAAGUUUAAUGUCUCCACUAUGGGCAUAGAGCGUUUAAAAACACUACCUCAGCAAUUUAAUCUCACACAGAUAGACCAUUUUCCUUGGAAAACAUGGACUGAGGAAAUAAAGAAAGAUAAGGGAUUAUUGGCCAUAUUAAAACAACAAUUGAAAAAUGCCGAAAUUGUUUUCCAACAUAAACAAGGUGAAUUAGAACAAAUUCAACAUCAAUGGAAUGAUAUGUCUGGAGUUAGUUGGUGGUCAAAUUUUAAAAAAUCAGUAAAUAUGUGGUCACAAUCUUCGGUAAAAUCCGCAGCUGGGAAUAUAUUGUUGAAUCCAAUUGUUAUUAUAGCUAUACUUGUUUUAUUAUGUAUUAUUUAUCAAAGUUUUCUUAUGUGUAGAAUAAGUAAGAUAUAUAAACAUGUUAAGUAUGAAGUAGAUAAGGGAGAUGGAAUAUUAAGGGAAUUGAUAAAAAGGGCACAAUCCUCUCAUUCCAUAACAAAUAUAGAGAAAAGGGUGUCUCAUGCUAAUGAUUAUCAUAUGGUCCCAGGUAAAGUGUGAUGUGAUUGUAGUAUAAAUGUGAUACGAAUGUGAUACGAAUGGUGAGUAAAUGUGUAUAUUUGAAAAGAUAUGAUAAGGAUAUUAUCCUAUCAUCAGGGGGAAUUGUAAAAUAUUCUAAUACAUUU